rnacentral:rRNA from 1 species
UACGUAGGGUGCGAGCGUUGUCCGGAAUUAUUGGGCGUAAAGAGCUCGUAGGCGGUGUGUCGCGUCGGUCGUGAAAACUUGGGGCUUAACCCUGAGCUUGCGGUCGAUACGGGCAUCACUGGAGUUCGGCAGGGGAGACUGGAAUUCCUGGUGUAGCGGUGAAAUGCGCAGAUAUCAGGAGGAACACCUGCGGCGAAGGCGGGUUGCUGGGCUGACACUGACGCUGAAGCGCGAAAGCUAGGGGAGCGAACGGG